rnacentral:lncRNA from 1 species
CUUACUUGGCUUGUAGUGUCAUCAGUAGCAACCGUCAAACAUAGGUUUGCUUUUUCAACAGAAUCACUUGAACUACAAGUGCUUGAUGCGAUAUCCUCCCAAGCAAUGUAGGCCUUCUUCUUUUUGUGAGAUUUCUUUGCUUUUUUUUCUUUAUUUCUUUUGUUGCUUGAACAAUCAGCUUUCACAUGGCCUCUUUCACCACAUCCAUAACAUUUGAAGCUUGAAGCGGAUCCUUGAUUGUUCUCCUUCUUCUUCUUCUUCUUCUUCAAGAUUUGGCUUUCACUUUUUGCCAUUAAGCAUAUAUUUUCUUGCUCAUUAAAAUCACUUGAGCUUGAUGUAGAGCUUGAAUCACACGGUGUCAACUUAUCUACAUCUAUGACUU